CAACUCCCAAACCCCUGUGAACAUACCACUUGUUGCCUCGGCGGAUCAGCCCGCUCCCGGUAAAACGGGACGGCCCGCCAGAGGACCCCUAAACUCUGUUUCUAUAUGUAACUUCUGAGUAAAACCAUAAAUAAAUCAAAAC
rnacentral:misc_RNA from 1 species